GACGAACGCUGGCGGCGUGCUUAACACAUGCAAGUCGAACGGAAAGGCCCUGCUUUUGUGGGGUGCUCGAGUGGCGAACGGGUGAGUAACACGUGAGUAACCUGCCCUUGACUUUGGGAUAACUUCAGGAAACUGGGGCUAAUACCGGAUAGGAGCUCCUGCUGCAUGGUGGGGGUUGGAAAGUUUCGGCGGUUGGGGAUGGACUCGCGGCUUAUCAGCUUGUUGGUGGGGUAGUGGCUUACCAAGGCUUUGACGGGUAGCCGGCCUGAGAGGGUGACCGGCCACAUGGGGACUGAGAUACGGCCCAGCCUCCUACGGGAGGCAGCAGUGGGGAUUAUUGAACAAUGGGCGGAAGCCUGAUGCAGCAACGCCGCGGGCGGGAUGACGGCCUUCGGGUGGUAAACCGCUUUCGCCUGUGACGAAGCGUGAGGGACGGUAAGGGGUAAAGAAGCACCGGCUAACUACG
rnacentral:rRNA from 1 species